GGGGAAUAUUGCACAAUGGGCGCAAGCCUGAUGCAGCCAUGCCGCGUGUGUGAAGAAGGCCUUCGGGUUGUAAAGCACUUUCAGCGGGGAGGAAGGCGGUGAGGUUAAUAACCUCAUCGAUUGACGUUACCCGCAGAAGAAGCACCGGCUAACUCCGUGCCAGCAGCCGCGGUAAUACGGAGGGUGCAAGCGUUAAUCGGAAUUACUGGGCGUAAAGCGCACGCAGGCGGUCUGUCAAGUCGGAUGUGAAAUCCCCGGGCUCAACCUGGGAACUGCAUUCGAAACUGGCAGGCUAGAGUCUUGUAGAGGGGGGUAGAAUUCCAGGUGUAGCGGUGAAAUGCGUAGAGAUCUGGAGGAAUACCGGUGGCGAAGGCGGCCCCCUGGACAAAGACUGACGCUCAGGUGCGAAAGCGUGGGGAGCAAAC
rnacentral:rRNA from 1 species